rnacentral:rRNA from 1 species
GGGCCCGCACAAGCGGCGGAGCAUGCGGAUUAAUUCGAGGCAACGCGAAGAACCUUACCAAGGCUUGACAUAUACGGGAAGCCACCAGAGAUGGUGGUCUCUUUGGACACUCGUAUACAGGUGGUGCAUGGUUGUCGUCAGCUCGUGUCGUGAGAUGUUGGGUUAAGUCCCGCAACGAGCGCAACCCUUGUCCUAUGUUGCCAGCACGUUAUGGUGGGGACUCAUGGGAGACUGCCGGGGUUAACUCGGAGGAAGGUGGGG